rnacentral:rRNA from 1 species
GACGAACGCUGGCGGCGUGCCUAACACAUGCAAGUCGAGCGAAGUGAGUACUACGGUACGAACUUAGCGGCGGACGGGUGAGUAACGCGUGGACAAUCUACCCUGCAGACUGGGAUAACACCUCGAAAGGGGUGCUAAUACCGGAUAAUGUCGAGAAGCGGCAUCGCUUUUCGAAGAAAGGAGAGAAUCCGCUAUAGGAGGAGUCCGCGUCCCAUUAGCUAGUUGGUGAGGGUAACGGCCCACCAAGGCGACGAUGGGUAGCCGGCCUGAGAGGGUGAACGGCCACACUGGAACUGAGACACGGUCCAGACUCCUACGGGAGGCAGCAGUGGGGAAUAUUGUGCAAUGGGGGAAACCCUGACACAGCAACGCCGCGUGAGCGAAGAAGGCCUUCGGGUUGUAAAGCUCAAUAGUAUGGGAAGAUAAUGACGGUACCAUACGAAAGCCCCGGCUAACUACGUGCCAGCAGCCGCGGUAACAC